GAUUCUCUGUCUCUUUAGAAAGGAAACAGACUGCCCCAUUGCUUUCUUAUUGAGAGGGUUCAGAAUAGCACCAGAGAGCUGCAAACCACACUCCCUGGAGUAAAAGCCUUGCAGAUUUUCAGGACACUGCAGCCACCACACUUGGCAAGGACCCAGAGUGUGCAACAGCAACCAAAGAAGAAAAAAAUCCACUCAAUCAAGAUGAGACCAGAUACCUACGUCAAGAAACACUUCAAACAUUUGUCUGGAUCCAACUGCAAAAGCAGGAACAUGAACAACCAAGACAACAGGCCUCCUCUGGAAGUCAGCAAUUCUAUUGCCAUAAGCAAUAUUUGGGAAAAGCAGUGUAGCUGAAGCAUGAAACAGGGAAUGGGUGAUUAUUAUUUCCCCAGGAUUAAUGAUGAAAAUUAAAGGCCAUAUGGUUCAA
rnacentral:lncRNA from 1 species